rnacentral:rRNA from 1 species
ACCCGCUCUAGCCCUCAAAAUYCUAACACAAAUCAAAUAAAUUACACUAAACCAAAACAUUUUUAUGCCUAAGUAUCGGUGAGAGAAAAGACAACAGGCGCAAUAGAGACAGUACCGCAAGGGAAAGAUGAAAUAAAAAUUUAACACAAAAGUACAGCACAGCAAAGAUUAACCCUUUUACCUUUUGCAUUAUGGUUUAGCCAAACAUAACCGUGGCAAAGAGCACUAAAGUCACCUACACCCGAAUCUGGGCGAGCUACUAGCCAGCAGAAGUAAUACAGCACCAACCCAUCUCUGUGGCAAAAGAGCGGGAAGACUGACUAGUAGAAGUGAAAAGCCUAACGAGCCCAGUGAUAGCUGGUUGCUUGGGAAUAGAAUAUAAGUUCUACUGAAAACCUUCUGAUUCACCACMAAUAAAGGACAAAGAAAGUUUUCAAGAUAUUUAAUGGGGGUACAGCCCCAUUAACACAGGACUCAACCUCUACCUAAGGGUAAAACCAAUUCGCACCUUAAAUGUAGGCUUUAAAGCAGCCAGCACAACGAAAGCGUCAAAGCUCGCACCAAAAAAAUACCUACAACAAAAUUAAACCCUACAACAYWACCAAGCCUUUCUAAAACAUUAGAAGAGAUUAUGCUAAAAUUAGUAACAAGAACCUUGAUCUUCUCCUGGGCGCUAGCCUACACUACUCAUGACACACUAUUGGUAAUUAACACCCUACCCAUCUGCCACAAACAUAAGGGACACACACUGUUAACCCAACACAGGAGCGCAGCAGGAAAGGCUAAACCCUGCAAAAGGAACUCGGCAAACAAAGAUUCCGACUGUUUACCAAAAACACAGCCCCCAGCCUCCCAAGUAUUGGGGGUGAUGCCUGCCCAAUGACUUUAAGUUAAAUGGCCGCGGUAUCUACAACCGUGCGAAGGUAGCGUAAUCAUUUGUUCUUUAAAUAAGGACCAGUAUGAAAGGCUAAACGAGAAUCUAUCUGUCUCUUGCAGAAGGCCAGUGAAAUUGAUCCCCCUGUGCAAAAGCAGGGAUGUCAACAUUAGACGAGAAGACCCUGUGAAACUUUAAACCACUAAAUCACAAAAAAUUGUAAAAUAUCACCCCAAGCGGACUAACUACAAUUAACACACUGAUUUAGCGUUUUCGGUUGGGGCGACCCCAAAAUAAAAAAAACUUUCCAGGAAAACAGUAACAUGACACUUACUGACCAAGACCUACACCACAAAGUGCUUAAAUGUAAUCAGAUCCGGCACACGCCGAUUCAUGAACUAAGCUACUCCAGGGAUAACAGCGCAAUCCCCUUCAAGAGCCCAUAUCGACAAGGGGGUUUACGACCUCGAUGUUGGAUCAGGACAUCCUAAUGGUGUAACCGCUAUUAAUGGUUCGUUUGUUCAACGAUUAAAGUCCUACGUGAUCUGAGUUCAGACCGGAGCAAUCCAGGUCGGUUUCUAUCUAUGAAUGCGAACCUUUCUAGUACGAAAGGACCGAAAGAGCAGGGCCCAUGCCACUAAAGUAAGCCUUACCUAAAGAUUAAUGAAAACAACUAAAUUAACAACCAGGACAAUCACACCCCGCCUCAAUACAAGAGGAA